AUAGUUGGAGUUGGAAAUUGACGUAACCAAUAUGCAAGCGAUCUGUCACAAGAGCGAUUUGAUGGCGAAUCUAAUGAGUCAUCAUCAGUUUCUAAUUCCAUCUAU
rnacentral:pre_miRNA from 1 species